rnacentral:misc_RNA from 1 species
GAUGAAGAACGUAGCGAAAUGCGAUAAGUAAUGUGAAUUGCAGAAUUCAGUGAAUCAUCGAAUCUUUGAACGCACAUUGCGCCCGCCAGUAUUCUGGCGGGCAUGCCUGUUCGAGCGUCAUUUCAACCCUCAGGCCCCCAGUGCCUGGCGUUGGGGAUCGGCGCGGCGCCCUCCGGGGCGCUGCCGGCCCCGAAAUUCAGUGGCGGUCUCGCUGUAGCCCUCCUCCGCGUAGUAGCACAACCUCGCGGCCUGGAGCUCGGCGGUGGCCAUGCCGUAAAACACCCCACUUCUGAAAGUUGACCUCGGAUCAGGUAGGAAUACCCGCUGAACUUAAGCAUAUCAAUAACGGAGGA